rnacentral:lncRNA from 1 species
GAAAGAGCAGGCUUCACUUAGACAAAGUUGCGCUGUGAGCGCCCCUCCAGCGUUUGGUUUCAUCCAGCAUUUACUGGGUUAACCUUGAAGCCGAAGCGCGGGGGAGGGGUGGUUCUCCGGAACUUGGACAUCAUUGGCUACGGGUAACCCUGGUAACGCCAUACUUGGGCCUUUUCCGCCUUGCUGGGGCAGAAACGGCGCUAAGGCUUAUGGCCUCCAUCUUAGAACCUCCACUUUACUUUCGGUUUUGCGUGUAGCGAGUUGUGCCUCAUAGAAGAGGAGAAAAAUAUUCUUCGCUCAGAAGUUGGAGCAGAACCCUUUUCGGACCAUUGUGGACGUACCGCGUGCUUUGGACCGAAACGUUUUUUUGGAUUACAUUCGCUGGAUUAUAACAAACAGAAUGAGACCGCACUCGACGUGACUGAGCGACGUUUGGGGCUCAGCAGUCGUCAAAAAUGAUGAACGUAACACAAACCAGCGGAGUCGAGUGGCGCGCAUCGCCUUCGUCAGAUUUGCCUUCGUGCUCCUGCUCCUCCUCAUGAAGAAGGAGGUCACCAUCUGCGAGGCGGUGCAGCCAAGUCACACUCUGAAUCUAUUAAUCAGAGCUGCGUUGGAACAGACAACUGCGAGACGCCAUAAUCCACAUGCACAGACACUGGUGGCGCUCAGCGUUCAGCAGACGAGACCGCUGCCCCGGAAAAACAAACGCAGACCGUGGAUGAACGUCUGGGACGAGCCCCGAAUCCCUGACUUCUGCUUGUUGAACACUGGACCACGCCAGCGGCUGCGACGGCCCGAGGCGGCGCUCGGUACUAACAUCUGCAGGCACGCGGCCCAUCGAUGCCAUAUGUUCUGUAAGCAGAGUCGGAAAAAAGAAGACUGCUGUAAAACUAAGUGGAAGCAAAUUAGCACAAAUUAA